rfam:Oryza barthii chromosome 4, whole genome shotgun sequence.
AAUUUCAGUUGAAAAAGUCAUCAACAACAAAAGUUGUAUAACUCAUCAAGAUCUAUAACUUUUAUUUUGGUCAUUUCUUCAUCCGACAAAGUGAUAGUAACAUUUUUACAAAAUUUACAUAUCUCUCUUAUAGUUUAAAAAACCAUAUAAGAGAUAUGUAAAUUUUGUGAACCAUGUUACUAUCACUUUGUCGGAUGAAGAAAUGACCAAAAUAAAAGUUAAAGAUCUUGAUGAGUUAUAUAACUUUGUUGUUGAUGACUUUUUCAGCUGAAAUC